CAGAAACAUCCGCUUCCCUCUUGCUCCUCAAUCAGAUUGGACUCCAAGCCUCCAAACUACCCAGGGAAGCAGCCUGACACAGUGCCUGGCAAUCGGAGGAAGAGAGCGAGGAAGCAAUGGUCCCUGCAGACCGAGCCGACGGGCAGAGAUGAAGGGGGCUGAUAGGGCUGAGUGUCGUCAAGGAGGCGGAGGAUCGGGGCGCUGAGACACGGCGGGGGUGUUGUGAAUCAUGGCAGCCGCUUCGGGGGGGCAGAUGGAAAUACCACGUACAGUUUAAAAUGCUCCUUCCUUUCACGCUGAAAUCCCACUUACAGCGUAAGUCCUGAGGAACUUCUGCUCAGGGAAGUGUGAACACACCGAUGUUCAUGGCAGCAUUGUUUGUGACAGCAAAGAACCUGGACACCCGUCAGCAGGUAAAAAGAGAUACACCCUAAAGAAUUCCCUGAUGCCUAGGGCUGUGCCCACAACUGCAGGAAAGGGUUGAGCAUGUGGAAGUUUCGUGAUGGGCACAUGGGGACCUGACACUCUUAUUUUGAUGUGGGCUUGAAAAUUUUCAUAAUAAAGCAUUUCCC